UCUAAUAUGGCAGAAUAGUGCAAUGAACUUAAGCUUCAUACAUAGAGGAACAACUCUUAUUAGAA
rnacentral:tRNA from 1 species